rnacentral:lncRNA from 1 species
AGCCAUUUGCUUAUGCUUCAAAGAAACAUUUUAAAGAAUGUGACAAGCCCAAGCCUUCACCAACUCCAUACUACUACAAAUCACCUCCACCUCCCUCACCUGUUUACAAGUACAACUCUCCACCUCCACCAGUCCAUUAUUAUUCACCACCAUAUUACUACAAAUCACCUCCUCCUCCAGUAAAAUCGCCACCAACACCUUACUACUACAAAUCACCUCCACCUCCCUCACCAGUUUACAAGUACAACUCACCACCUCCACCGGUCCAUUAUUACUCUCCUCCAUAUUCCUAUAAGUCGCCUCCACCUCCCUCACCAGUUUACAAAUACAACUCCCCACCUCCACCAGUCCACCAUUAUGAUCCUCCAUAUUACUACAAGUCACCUCCACCUCCCUCACCAGUUUACAAGUACAACUCCCCACCUCCACCAGUCCAUUAUUAUUCACCUCCAUAUUACUACAAAUCCCCACCUCCUCCUGUGAAAUCCCCACCACCCCCUUACUACUAUAAAUCACCUCCACCUCCCUCACCAGUUUACAAAUACAACUCACCACCUCCACCGGUUUACAAGUACAACUCACCACCUCCACCAGUCCACCAUUAUGAUCCUCCAUAUAACUACAAGUCACCUCCACCUCCUUCACCUGUUUACAAGUACAACUCCCCACCUCCACCAGUCCAUUAUUAUUCACCUCCAUAUUACUACAAAUCACNNN